AUAAAUCCCCAGUAUGAGGCACAUUAAACUUCACAUAGGGCCAGACAGCUAUGUGUGCAAGAUGCUACCUGCAUAAAUUGGGUUUUUCCUGGAUAUGGAGGGGCAACACAUAGAGAAGAAGAAACGCAUACGUGUGUGCAGGUUUGGGCACAUGCACACGAAGCCUGGAGGGAUUCCCUUUGGAUCACAGUCAAAAUGGACUUACAAGAGGGAUUCGGUAUGAGCACAUACUUCUCCCGAUGUACUACACACGGCCCACCCCUACCAGCCAGGGUCUCUGGAGAGCGAUCAGCACCUGCUUCAGCUCUGGCCAAAGCUGUUUUUUUGGCCUGUGUGAAGGGCAGAAAACUAGAAUGGGGACACAGGAGCAUCUCAGAGACUUGUGGAGAAGUCGCGUCUCCUACCACUUUCUGUGAGUCUGCUGAACGUCUUCUCAGCACAGAAGCGUCUUUCCCAACAUGCAAUCAGGAGCUGCUGAGACACAUCAUGGCGCAAGCUUGAACCAGAAUUAAUGUUAACCUUUGACCAUCCACUCAUCACUUCUGUGUGCCACUCACUGGGCUAAGCACCAUCUCACUUAACUCUCACAACUAUCCUUCAAGGUUUGCCUCUGAGAGGAGGGGAAAGUGGAAUAUACUCUGCCCCGCAGUCUGCUGAAGAAAUGUACUCCUGGGGCCUGAAAAUCAAGUGAAGCCAUCUGGCUUAGACAGCUCAGCAGCAUGAAGAUCAAAGUCACGUGUGAGCUUUGUGCACCGGCAGCUUUUCUUCAUCUCAGGCUACAAAUCUUUGGCAAUCCGAGGCAGGCUCUGAAUUAAGCUUAAUUAAAAUUCAGUCUUAAUUAGGGCCAUUACUUAAAACCAACUCUUAUGUAAUAAAGCUGUGUAAUCAUAAUUAAGCCCCAGGAAUGGAAUUAGGAAGCACAGAAUGCAAAAGCCAAACAUGCAUGUGCCUGAUGCUGAUGGAGGCAGUGACAGUGACUUCUUGAAUUGACAGAAUUUUUAAAUAACCAAAGACCGGUGAGUGUGCUCUUGACCCCACCUGCAGGCCCCAAGCCGGUGCACCUAAUCCUGGCAGAGUAGGAAGAUCUGGCAUUUGAGUUGAAUGUGGAAGAGGCUGUUAGGUUUUAAUUCCAGAGCUGUGGAAGAGAAAAACAGAGCACAUUCUUCCCCAUUCUAUUGGUUGACUUAGACUUCCAGUUUCCUUACACAUAAGUCUUGGGGUUCAUUUCCAGAAGGAGUAGAGGGAUGUAUAAGCAUCUGCACCCAAAAAUCAACUGCUUCCAGUUUGAGUCCUGAAUUGUUCAGGGCUGCCUCAUGGUUCUUAUGCAGCAUAUGGGAGCUGACUGUACGCCGGGCACUGAACUGGGCUCUCACUGAGUUUUUUACCCAAGUGCCACCGGUCAGGAAUUAUUAGUCCCAUUUUGCAAAUGAAGAAGUUGAGGCACAGAGAAGCAAAGCACAAUAGCUCAUUGGCCAAAGGAAAAUAUAGCCUGUGAUCCCAUAUUGGGUGUUCAGUUCACUCUAUCAACUCCGCACUCUGCCAGAGAUACCAUCUAGGCCAGGUGCCUCCCAGACAGCUUCCACCCAUAGCAGGGUCAGCACAAAGGUUGGUCUUUUCUACACCUAAACUUAAAACUAAAUGUUCCUUUGGAGCCAGAAAGGUUCAGCAGUUCACAUUCUCCGAACAGCGUCAGGCCCAUGCAGUGAUUCUCCUCACUGGCAUUAACUCUGCUUGCAUGCACCUAGAGAUGCGGGGGGACAUCAUUGCUUAUGGAGGUAAGCUCUUACAUUGGAUGACAGUGUGGAGAUGGAGAGAAAUUUGGCCUGAGUCUGUUGUUCACGAAGCUUUCCAUCUCCGACUUUAAAUAUCAACUUCCGGUGAUGCACACAGAGUCACUGUGACUGGGUGGUUCUGUGUUCAGUGUUAAUCAGUGAAUGCAAAGAUUGCAGUCCUAUUACAGUUUUUAAAAAUCUGUAUUAGCGUUUCCUCAUGUGUCAGUGUAGCAGGAACCUUAACUGGGACAGAAAGCCUGGUCCAUUUCCUCAGCCCAGGAGGCCCUGAGAGUUGAUACGGACAUUCUUUACUAUGGGCUCAGCUAUACAUUUGGAGCUUUGCCUCUCCCUGGAAAGGCCCAUGGAGGGGUCAAAGGUUCUUGUGUCACUGUCCCACAGGAAGGUGGAUGGCUAGAGGAUGGAUUUGCUUGGAUAGGAAAGCUACCCAGUACUGACCUGGCAUGGCCCUGAGCUCUGCUGCUUUGGAGUGGAGGGUAAGUUGUGGUGAGCAGGCGAACUUGUGGCCAGCUGGGGUUCCCCAGGAUCCCAGGGGCUCUGCUCCGCAAGUGAAUAGUGGCUGCUUCCCAGGGUCCGUACUGCAUUGCCCCACUUCUCAAUUCCAGGACACUCUUCCUGUGAUAUUUUAUGCAAAUACCUACCAUAACGUUGCUCCAUAAAGGUCCUACUUAAAUGCAAACCUCAGUGCCAGAGGGUGCCUGCGGCGUGAGCUAAUGUCACACUCUGGGGCUGACCCCCAAAUGGUGAAUGGUUGGCUUACACCGCUCAUAGACACUGGCUCCUGACCUGAGGAGGCCAUGGUUCUUCUCCCAGCGUGACUUCUUUGUCCUUCAACCCUGAUAGCAUUUGCCUUUAUUUACACUAAAUAGAGCCAGCCCCACUUGUGGGUUCCUGUGUUUUGGGCAAGCCCAGCUGGAGGUCCCCACAGCCAGUCCCAGCAAGGAGCUGCCACCCUGGUGGCGGUCACACGCAAGGUUCUCCCUGGCGGAGCAGCUCUUCCAAGAGUUUAGCAAACACUUUGUGUCCCACAAAACAUGUGAGGUAAUGUUUAUACAACACCGGUCUGCCCCUUUGAGCAGGCUGUGGGGGUGCCGGCCUGACCCAGUAGCGCUCAUGGUGGCCGCACUUUCCUCACCCACCUUAAAUUCCCCCGGUUUUCCUCCUGCUGCCCUUCGUGGGCUGGGAAACGUACUCAUGCUUUUCCCCACAGCAGACGAGCCUGGGAGCGGGGAAUAAAGUACCACUGACCCUCUCACAGCCUUCCCUGUCUCCAUUCUUCAGGGUACAUUCACAGUACGAUGGACCUUGUUUUACAUAGAAAGAAACUGAGGCAGAGAACAACAAGGCAUCUGGGCAAAAGCUAUAAAGUAGAUUGGUAGCUGGGCUGCGAAUUGAGGGUCCUACCUCUAAAGUCACCCUCUGAACUGCUAUAUCUUAGGUAGUUGUUUAUUUAAAGACCUCGGGUUUUGUUUACAGAUGGAAGGAAGGAAGGAUGGAAGGUGGAUGGAUAGAUCGAUGGACAAAUAGCUAUAUAUAUGAGAUAGCUGGACAAGUGAAGUGGUUAGAGACGGGACUGUGUAUGUAGGUAGAUAUAUAGAAAGGUAAUUAUAUAAUUCUAUUAGAAUACAUAAGAAACUGCUUUUGGAAAAAGAAUAAGGAGUUUGGUGUGUGUGUGUGUGUGUGUGAGAGAGAGAGAGAGAGACUGAGAGAGAGAAUUACUUUUAUUGAUUGUUCCAUGCUCCCUCUGAAAUGUUGGAAGGCUGUGCAUGUACACAAAUUGGUUUUUAAAUCUUUUCUGCUUCUUUGCCCUCUUUCGCAGUGCCUCUGUCCACAGGCGAGGUCCGCUGUGGGAGAGUCCUUGUGGGAGUCUACAAAGUCAUUGCCCUGCGGAAACCUACUCGCUCAAUGACCCAAAUCCAUCGGAUGCUCUCAGGUGCAUGGGUGGUGCAGCAUGGAAGGUAGAAGAAGCUCAGAUUUUGGAGUCUUGAGACUGGCCCCAGGGCUGCUCCAGUGACCUUGACUCCUGAUCCAAUGACCAGAGGACCUCGGCAAUGGCAGCAGCCAAAAUGUUGUUUCGCAUUUAGAAAUGUGAUGAAUUGGAAACCAACUGCAAUCUCAACAGCUUGGAGCUGGUUAAGUGAUUUUGAGCUUAUGUGGCUAGUACAACAAAUCACAAAUCUAUCUUUUCUACACCCAAUAUUAGCGUGAAACAAGCGAGCAGAUCCUUUAUGCAGUUAGGGUUCCUCAGAAUGGAAUAUGCAGAAUUCAAGUCAAAAUAUGCCAAAAUGUUAGCAAUUAACUCUGUAUAUAUAGCUAGUAUUAUUUUUCAUAUUUGCAAUGUAUAAACGUGAUUUUUAUUAUAAAAUAAACCCUUAUCUGGAAUAGUCUCUUAGAUCAAGUGCAAGAACAUAAAUAUGAGCAUAGGGCAAGUGGAAGAAAAUAAAGCAAAAUGAUACCUUUGGGUGGUAGGAUCAGAACAUUUUUGCCUCCCAUCUUUAUAGUUUUUGAAUUUUCUGUGUUUACUUUUACAAUGGGUAUUAAUACUUAACAUGAUUUUAAAAAUGAGUGAAGAAGGAAACAGUGGUCAGUUUUGGUUCAGGCAAAACUUCAGCCUCUCCAAAAGCCCCACAAGUCAAAUGUUUGAUGUUUUCUGCACCUAUAAACCAUGCACAUCAUUUGGCACUGAGGAAGUAAGGGUGAGGAAAUAUAAAAGUGAAGGAAAUGCAAGCACUUUAAUCAAAUAAAUCACAGGCCUGCCGGGGAGAAAAGAACCUUCAUUAUACAGUUCAAAUUGCAAAGUCUUAAUCCUAGAAGUUUAUUUGUUAAGAGUAAUAGUAAUAAAAGUGACAAUAUAUUGAA